AAUAUUGGAACAUAUAAAAAAAGACAACUCUGUUCCGCAGAGUAACUGUUGACAUUAUAGUUGCGCAGGAACUUUGUUAACUCUAGAGAACCUCGGGCAAAUCGCACGUCCCCAUGGCGGCGACUUUGCAUGUGGAUGUCAUCCAUAUCAACUUUCAAUGCCAGUUUCUGCGCCUACCAUGGUGACCAUGGGUAACGGGGAAUCAGGGUUCCAUUCUGUACAGGGACCCUGAGAAACGGCUACCACAUGCAAGGAAGGCAGCAGGCGAGCAAAUGACCCAUUCCCGACGCAGGAAGGUAGUGA